GCAGGGGUACCCAAGCGGUCAAAGGGGCAGGGCUUAGGACCCUGUGGCUUAGUGCCUUCCUGGGUUCGAAUCCCAGCCCCUGCA
rnacentral:tRNA from 2 species